CUUAACAGAAAUACCAGAGUGAAUGAACCCAGUCUUGUCUGGUCUUGGAACUAAGCAAGCUUGGGUUUACCUAGUACUUGGCCAGGAGAAAAUCUGUGAAAC
rnacentral:rRNA from 1 species